AAUUCCAAAGGAAAAAGUAAUCAACAUCAAAGUUGUAUAACUCAUCAAUGUCUACAAUUUUGUUUUGGUCAUUUCUUCAUCCGACAAUGUGAUAGUAACAUUGUUCAUAAAAUUGGCAUCUCUCUCAUAUAGUUUAUGAAACCAUAUAAGAGGUAUGUCCGAUUUGUAAACAAUUUAACUAUCACUUUGUCGGAUGAACGAAUGACCAAAACAAAAGUUGUAGACAUUGAUGUGUUAUGCAACUUUGUUGUUGUUGACUUUUUUAUUUGAAAGC
rnacentral:pre_miRNA from 1 species